rnacentral:rRNA from 1 species
GGUCUAAUACCGGAUAUGACCUUACAUCGCAUGGUGUUUGGUGGAAAGAUUUAUCGGUGCGAGAUGGGCCCGCGGCCUAUCAGCUUGUUGGUGGGGUAAUGGCCUACCAAGGCGACGACGGGUAGCCGGCCUGAGAGGGCGACCGGCCACACUGGGACUGAGACACGGCCCAGACUCCUACGGGAGGCAGCAGUGGGGAAUAUUGCACAAUGGGCGAAAGCCUGAUGCAGCGACSCCGCGUGAGGGAUGACGGCCUUCGGGUUGUAAACCUCUUUCGACAGGGACGAAGCGCAAGUGACGGUACCUGUAGAAGAAGCACCGGCCAACUACGUGCCAGCAGCCGCGGUAAUACGUAGGGUGCGAGCGUUGUCCGGAAUUACUGGGCGUAAAGAGCUUGUAGGCGGCUUGUCGCGUCGAUCGUGAAAACUUGGGGCUCAACCCCAAGCUUGCGGUCGAUACGGGCAGGCUUGAGUACUUCA